rnacentral:lncRNA from 1 species
UGAGAUCUUGGAUGGUCGCUAUUCCUCUAUUUUCAAAGUUUGUUAUAAUUUGUAAUCAUAUGAUAAAUCCUUUAUAAUAUUUACUUACUUGAUGCUCUCUCUCCAGCACUUGGAUAUAAUACAAAAAAACUAGUCCGAAAGUAUAAUUUAAAUUUUGUAGUGCUACUGUAUAAAUAUCGAAGAUCUAUCCAUCCUCAAACCUAACAUCACUCACGAUGUGUUUGAAUCUUCAAGUCGUUUCACAGGCUUCCUUGGAGCUCUGAUAAACCUCUGCUUGGUGGGUGCUGAUGUUGUAUUUGACAACUUAGUUGCAACAUAAUCUCUGUGCCACGUAUACGUCCAUGAGCUACUUCGUCGUCCAGUCUCCGUUGGCAAUGACUCUAAUGUCACCAUAUAUAAAAAUCUUCUGCCAAUAUGAUAUAUAGAAAGUGCACUGUUCUCACCUGAUGUAGAUCACUAAAAAUCUUGCGAUAGAUUUCCCAUAUUAGUCGAGUUUUGAUAUAUUGAUUUUAAUUAUCAGCGUAGAUCUAAUAAUCCCAACCUUUCCAAAUUUGGCUUCCUUUCAGCCUCAGCCGAGAUAGCAGAAAUCUGGAGUGCGUUGUCCAAAUUGAUAACCAUGUGAUAACGCGAAUUGCUCUUCCCGACAACGAGCGGGCGAGGAGCGAGACAUCUCUAGGGUUUCUGCUAGGGUUUGCAAGAGUCAAUCGAUUCGUCAAUCAUGGCGUCCGUGGCUGCUGCUGCUGCGAAGAAGGAAUCAGCUUGAGGAGCAUGGACGGGCAGCGCGUCGAGGUGGAGUCGUCCAGUCGGAGACAUAGCCCANAUGACCGUGGACGGGUCCUCGCCGGCGGGGACCUCGCCAAGGUCCUUGAGUACUGCAGCAAGCACGCCGGGAACUCCGCUGCCGGCGAAGACGAGCUCAAGGCUUGGGACACCGAGUACGUCAGCAUUGCCGGCGAUGUCCUCUACGAGCGCCUCCUGGUGAGAUCCUUGCGCCAUACUCCUCUUUAAUCUUCUAUUUCUGGGUGUGUUUUUCUAGGGUUAGGGUUUUGAUGGGCUCGCUGUUUGUGGN